CUUACCAGGACCAGAUGUUUUUUAUGACUGACAGGCUUCGGGUCUUUCAGGAUAUUGUUUUUGGUGGUGCAUGGCCGUUGGUGGUGCGUGGGUUGACCUGUCUAGCGUUGAUUCAGCUAACGAGCGAGAUUAUCGCCAAUUAUUUACUUUGCCGAAGUCCUUCGGUUAAAGUUCUAAUUGGGACUCCCUGCGAUUUUAGCAGGUGGAAGAGGGUAGCAAUAACAGGUCCGUGAUGCCCUUUAGAUGCUCUGGGCUGCACGCGUGCUACAAUGUUAGGAUCAAUAGGACUGCGAGCCUGAGAGGGUGCGCUACUCUUAUAAUCCCUAACGUAGUUGGGAUUGACGUUUGUAAUCAGCGUCAUGAACCAGGAAUCCCUUGUAAAUGUGUGUCAACAACGCACGUUGAAUACGUCCCUGCCCUUUGUACACACCGCCCGUCGCUCCUACCGAUUGGAUGACUCGGUGAAAUCACCGGAUGCUUACGAGCAGAAAGUGAUUAAAUCACGUUAUCUAGAGGAAGGAGAAGUCGUAACAAGGUAACGGUAGGUGAACCUGCCGUUGGAUCAGUU
rnacentral:ncRNA from 1 species